GAGGGCAUAGCUCAGUGGUAGAGCAUAUGCUUAGCAUGCACAAGGCCUUGGGUUCAAUUAUCAGUGCCUCCA
rnacentral:tRNA from 1 species